rnacentral:rRNA from 1 species
AAAGGGGAGCAAUCCCUGAGUACAGUGGCGUACGGGUGAGUAACACGUGGGUCAUCUACCCUUGGGUGGGGAAUAACCCUGGGAAACCGGGGCUAAUACCGCAUAUCUCCGAGAGGAGAAAGUCGCAAGACGCCUAAGGAGGAGCCCGCGGCCGAUUAGCUAGUUGGUAGGGUAAAAGCCUACCAAGGCUCAGAUCGGUAGCCGGCCUGAGAGGGCACUCGGCCACACUGGCACUGAAACACGGGCCAGACUCCUACGGGAGGCAGCAGUGGGGAAUCUUGCACAAUGGGGGAAACCCUGAUGCAGCGACGCCGCGUGAGCGAUGAAGCCCUUCGGGGUGUAAAGCUCUUUCGGCAGGGACGAUAAUGACGGUACCUGCAGAAGCAGCUGCGGCUAACUACGUGCCAGCAGCCGCGGUAAUACGUAGGCAGCGAGCGUUGUUCGGAGUUACUGGGCGUAAAGGGUGUGUAGGCGGUCCUGUAAGUCUGGUGUGAAAUCUCCCGGCUCAACUGGGAGGGUGCGCCGGAAACUGCAGGGCUAGAGUGCGGGAUGGGAGAGUAGAAUUCCUGGUGUAGCGGUGAAAUGCGUAGAUAUCAGGAGGAAUACCUGUGGUGUAGACAGCUCUCUGGACCGCGACUGACGCUGAGACACGAAAGCGUGGGUAGCAAACAGGAUUAGAUACCCUGGUAGUCCACGCCCUAAACGAUGCACAUUUGGUGUGGGUGAUUCAUUUCAUCCGUGCCGGAGCUAACGCGUUAAAUGUGCCGCCUGGGGAGUACGGUCGCAAGGCUGAAACUC